rnacentral:tRNA from 1 species
GAGUUAAGAACAGAAAGGUAUCUGGAUCAAAUUGCAAAUUUGAAAAUUAGGGUUCAAUUCCCUCUUAACUUU